rnacentral:rRNA from 1 species
UUUAUGGAGAGUUUGAUCCUGGCUCAGGAUGAACGCUGGCGGCGUGCCUAAUACAUGCAAGUCGAGCGAACGGACGAGAAGCUUGCUUCUCUGAUGUUAGCGGCGGACGGGUGAGUAACACGUGGAUAACCUACCUAUAAGACUGGGAUAACUUCGGGAAACCGGAGCUAAUACCGGAUAAUAUUUUGAACCGCAUGGUUCAAAAGUGAAAGG